UACGUAGGGGGCGAGCGUUAUCCGGAUUCACUGGGUGUAAAGGGAGCGUAGACGGCCAUGGUAAGCCAGGUGUGAAAGCCUUGGGCUUAACCCGAGGAUUGCAUUUGGAACUAUCAAGCUAGAGUACAGGAGAGGAAAGCGGAAUUCCUAGUGUAGCGGUGAAAUGCGUAGAUAUUAGGAAGAACACCAGUGGCGAAGGCGGCUUCCUGGACUGAAACUGACGCUGAGGCACGAAAGCGUGGGGAGCGAACAGG
rnacentral:rRNA from 1 species